rnacentral:rRNA from 1 species
GGAGUCUGGGCCGUAUCUCAGUCCCAAUGUGUCCGUCCGCCCUCUCAGGCCGGAUACCCGUUGUCGCCACGGUGAGCCGUUACCUCGCCGUCUAGCUGAUGGGCCGCAGGCCGAUCUUUCGGCGGAGCCGAAGCUCCUUUCUUCCAUAGCCUUUACACUACGGAUCGUAUCCGGUAUUACCCCGCAUUUCUGCGGGCUGUCCCCGUCCGAAAGGUACAUCACCCACGUGUUACUCACCCGUGCGCCGGUCGCCAUCUAUCAAAGCAAGCUUCGAUAAUGCUGCCCCUCGACUUGCAUGUGUUAAGCCUGUAGCUAGCGUUCAUC